ACAUGCUUACAACAUAACAUUUAUGCACUAGAUCCCCUUAGAACUCUGCAGUUGAGCGUGCUCGAGAUAGAGUAGUACUGGGAUGGGUGACCUCCUGGGAAUUCCUAGUGUUUUACAUGUC
rnacentral:rRNA from 1 species